AGUGAACGCUGGCGGUAGGCCUAACACAUGCAAGUCGAACGGCAGCACAGUAAGAGCUUGCUCUUACGGGUGGCGAGUGGCGGACGGGUGAGGAAUACAUCGGAAUCUACUUUUUCGUGGGGGAUAACGUAGGGAAACUUACGCUAAUACCGCAUACGACCUACGGGCGAAAGCAGGGGAUCUUCGGACCUUCGCGAUUGAAUGAGCCGAUGUCGGAUUAGCUAGUUGGCGGGGUAAAGGCCCACCAAGGCGACGAUCCGUAGCUGGUCUGAGAGGAUGAUCAGCCACACUGGAACUGAGACACGGUCCAGACUCCUACGGGAGGCAGCAGUGGGGAAUAUUGGACAAUGGGCGCAAGCCUGAUCCAGCCAUACCGCGUGGGUGAAGAAGGCCUUCGGGUUGUAAAGCCCUUUUGUUGGGAAAGAAAAGCAGCAGGUUAAUACCCCGCUGUUCUGACGGUACCCAAAGAAUAAGCACCGGCUAACUUCGUG
rnacentral:rRNA from 1 species